AGAGUUUGAUCAUGGCUCAGGACGAACGCUGGCGGCGCGCCUAAUCCAUGCAAGUCGAGCGACGCAUUCCUUAGCCCGUAAGGGCGGGUUUGACGGAGCGGCGAACGGGUGCGUAACACGUGACCAAUCUGCCCCGAAGACCGGGAUAGCCCGGGGAAACCCGGAUUAAUACCGGAUGAUCUCAUCACCACGCAUGUGGAGAUGAGCAAAGGUUCAGGCGCUUCGGGAUGAGGUCGCGGCCCAUCAGCUUGUUGGUGAGGUAACGGCUCACCAAGGCGAUUACGGGUAGCUGGUCUGAGAGGACGAUCAGCCACACUGGAACUGAGAUACGGUCCAGACUCCUACGGGAGGCAGCAGGAGGGAAUCUUGCGCAAUGGGCGAAAGCCUGACGCAGCGACGCCGCGUGGGGGAUGAAUGCCUUAGGGUUGUAAACCCCUUUCACGAGGGAAGAAACUGACGGUACCUCGAGAAGAAGCCCCGGCCAACUACGUGCCAGCAGCCGCGGUAAUACGUAGGGGGCGAGCGUUGUCCGGAUUUAUUGGGCGUAAAGGGCUCGUAGGCGGCUUGGCAAGUCGGCCGUGAAAACCCAGGGCUCAACUCUGGGACGCCGGUCGAUACUGCCAUGGCUAGGGUCCGGUAGAGGGGAAUGGAAUUCCCGGUGUAGCGGUGAAAUGCGCAGAUAUCGGGAGGAACACCAGUAGCGAAGGCGGUUCCCUGGGCCGGCACCGACGCUGAGGAGCGAAAGCGUGGGGAGCAAACAGGAUUAGAUACCCUGGUAGUCCACGCCGUAAACGUUGGGUACUAGGCGUGGCGUCUUAUCAACGGACGCCGUGCUCGAAGCUAACGCGUUAAGUACCCCGCCUGGGGAGUACGGCCGCAAGGCUAAAACUCGAAGGAAUUGACGGGA
rnacentral:rRNA from 1 species